UACGUAGGGUGCAAGCGUUAAUCGGGAUUACUGGGCGUAAAGCGUGCGCAGGCGGUUGGGCAAGACAGAUGUGAAAUCCCCCGGGCUUAACCUGGGAAUGGCAUUUGUGACUGCCCGGCUAGAGUGUGUCAGAGGGGGGGUAGAAUUCCACGUGUAGCAGUGAAAUGCGUAGAGAUGUGGAGGAAUACCGAUGGCGAAGGCGGCCAUCUGGGACAACACUGACGCUGAAGCACGAAAGCGUGGGGGAGCAAACAGG
rnacentral:rRNA from 1 species